AACGAACGCUGGCGGCAUGCCUAACACAUGCAAGUCGAACGAUCCCUUCGGGGAUAGUGGCGCACGGGUGCGUAACGCGUGGGAACCUGCCCUUAGGUUCGGAAUAACUCAGAGAAAUUUGAGCUAAUACCGGAUAAUGUCUUCGGACCAAAGAUUUAUCGCCUUUGGAUGGACCCGCGUUGGAUUAGCUAGUUGGUGGUGUAAAGGCCUACCAAGGCGACGAUCCAUAGCUGGUCUGAGAGGAUGAUCAGCCACACUGGGACUGAGACACGGCCCAGACUCCUACGGGAGGCAGCAGUGGGGAAUAUAGGACAAUGGGCGCAAGCAUGACCAAGCAAUGCCGCGUGAGUGAUGAAGGCCUUAGGGUUGUAAAGCUCGUUUAACCGGGAUGAUAAUGACAGUACCGGGAGAAUAAGCCCCGGCUAACUCCGUG
rnacentral:rRNA from 1 species